rnacentral:lncRNA from 1 species
AGGCAACCCCCUUCCAGCUGUGAGAACAUACCCGCCGGUGGAGCAUCCAGUGGUGGUAAUAGGGCCACAGUACCUGGCACAGUACCCUGUUGAACUCGCCGUCUCUACAAAGCUAUGGACUCUUGGAGAGAAUGAUUUUAAAGUGUCUGACAUUAAUGGCACCCUCAUCUUCCAGGUCAAGAGUAAACUCUUAAGCUUGCAUGAUCGUCGUUUUCUGAAAGAUGCAGCCGGUAACACCCUUGUCAAUCUCAGGCAGAAGGUAUGUUUAAUUGCUCUUUGUCAUUUGCUUUCUUCUUUUUCAAUCUAACCAUCACAACAAUGAUAAAUUCUAAAUUUGGUUGCCUUUUACACGAGACUAGAUAUGAUUCAUUUAAUAUAAACAUCGAGGAUUAUUAUUACAUUUUAAAUGUAAUUUAACUGAUAAGGACCACGCAUAAAAUAACAAUGAUGAAAGUUGAAUACAGUCAAGUAAGUUUACUUUCAUUACUGUCCGUAUAUCAAUAAGAUGGCUUACUGCGUGUUUACCAUUUUCUCCAGAUAAGGACCAUGCAUCGGAGGUGGGAAGCUUUUAGAGGAGAAAGCAAGGAGGAGAAAGAUUUGCUUUUCACAGCCAAGAAAUCAAAGUUAUUCCAAUUCAAAACUGAGUUAGACAUAUUCUUGGCUAACAACAAAGGAGAGGUCCCUGAUUUCAAGGUCAAGGGAGGGUACGGGGAGAGUUCCUGCUCUAUACUUCUUGGAGAUUCCAAUACCAUGCUUGCACAAGUAAGUUCGAUGCUCUCAUUCAUUUUAGAGUCCUAUCUUUGCAGGUUUUCACACUAAUAUUUUUAAAUCUUACAUAAAUGCAGAUGCAUAGAUUACAUUCUCUCACGACUAUGAUCUUGGAUACAGAUAGUUUUGGAGUGACUGUUUAUCCUAAUGUUGAUUAUGCCUUCAUAGUAGCUCUUGUGGUGAUUCUCGAUGAGAUCAAUGCGGACCGUAGUGGCGAAGAUUAACUACAGGUUUUGUUUUAUUUGAAGAGAAGUUUUCAAGUUUUAUUGCUUUUUUAUUGUAAGAAUAAAUACAAUGCAUUCUUUAUUGCUUUUUCCUAAUGUAAAGUGUAUGCUUUGUGGAUGACAUAAAGCGUAAAAUAUAUAAUGUUUGUUAAGUUUUAUAAUCAUUUAUUUAAUGUGUUUUGAAUUCUGAUCAAACUCAGAAACAAAUAACACAUAACUUGAGAUAAAUGAUCAUUAUAUAAACUUAGCUUCAUAACUUCAAUAAAAUUUAUUUGUAUAAAUUUGUUUGGAUCGCUUGCAAAAGUUGGUGCUUGAUUCGGUAAAAAGAAUGUAAUUUUGUUGUUAAAGAAAUAUUGAAACUUCAAGGAUCAAAUUAAACAUUGCAAUAAAAAACAGCCUAUAUAAACACGUGAGGUGAAGAUUUUAAAAAUUUGAUCCUCAAAGUUUCUUUAUUUUUAUAUCUUUUGUCCCUUUAGAUUUAGAACUUUAGUUUUUUAUAUCCAAAACUUCAUUCUGUUCAUCUUUUAAAAUUAUAUGUUUAAGAGAUAAAACAGAAUUAUAUCAACAAAAAAAAAUUAUGAAACUUUUUUUAUAACAUUAGCCCUUUUUUUAUAGCCCUUCAUGAUUUUUCCCCCUUAAAUUAUAUUUGGUGGCUUUCCGGCCCAAGUCUAUUUUUAUUAUUGUAUAAUUAAAAAAAAUAAAGUUAUUAAACCUAUCUGAGUUCAAAACUCUAAUUAUGAAUUGUACUGUUUAAUCCAGGUUGACUCAGGUCGAUCCAAAACAUUGACAUCUCAAUAAUUUUUAAAAAAAUAAAGUUGAACCAGUGUUAUCUUUAAAAAAAAAAUUCAAUCAAACUAGAUUUUUACCAGGUCGUAUUUGGGUUAACCAGGUUGAUCGGGUCACAUCGCACCAACUUUCACUUGUUUUGAUGUUAUACUUGGCUAGACAUCAUUUAUUUCUAAUGACAAUGGAAUGAAAUUCAUGAGAAUAUAUCACCAUCGAUUCCUACUUGGAACGCACCUAACUCCAUAACCCUGGAUCAAACCAAAACCACACAAAUUCAAACCAAAAUAUUGUAAAUUCAUUUGUUCAAACUCAACGGAAUCGUAACAUGACAACAAGAUCCAUGAAUCAAAUAAUUAAACCCAAGCAACUUCAUAUAGUGACAAAAUAUCCUCUUCCACAAACCUUUAAACCAACAUGUGUGCGCCAAGCUAUAUCUCAAUCUCAACAGCGUAAUGCUAUGUCAAAUGACCUCACUACCAUCUUGAAGCAUGGAACUUGGGACUUGCUUACACCGCCUUCAAAUUGUACCUAUGUAGGUUGUAGAUGGGUGUUUAAAGUCUAAUGGUUAUAUGGAUUGAUUGAAAUAUUGUCUUGUUGCAAAGGGGUAUAAUCAACACCCCGGGCUGGACGACAAAGAAACAUUCAAUCUAAUAGUUAAACUUGCCAAUAAAUUUUAACUUUUAUUGUCAUGAAUUAGUGAAAGUUAGACAAAUAGAUGUUAACAAUACUUUUCUACAUAGGAAUUUAACUAAACUAUUUAUAUGAUGUAACAUCUUUGUUUUAAUGACAUGUUUAAGCCUAAUAAUAUAUCUAUAUUAAGAAAAGCCAUUUAUAGGCUUAAACAAGCACACCCGAGGUAUGACAUACAACUAUAAAAAAUGCUCUCCUUAAAUUGUUGUUCUUAUUUGAUAAGUAGAACUCUUAUUUAUAAGGUUUGUACAAUAUGUUGUUUAUUAUAAAUUCAACUACAUGAGGAUAGAGUAUUUACAAAAGAUUAGAUGAGGGAAAAUCUAUAUUGUUACAAAUUCUUGAUUUUCUUUAUAUGAUGAACCUUAUUUUUUAGUAUACUAGAUUUUAAAACACCAUCAAUAUUUUAUUACUGUAGCAAUACUGAAGUUGUGCUUCUUAAUUUGUCUGUUAUAGAAUUUAUGAUUGAUGGUAAUCAAUUUUUGUGCCACGCAUGCUGGUUAUUAAUGCAUCGUUGAAUGGUGAUUUAGGUUUCUUCAUAGAAAAAUCCUAAGAAUGCACUCACUUUAAGAAUAUUUGAGGAGAUUUGCGUAUUGUUGUGAUUAUUUAAAUAAAUUGGAGCCAUUGUUAUAUGUAAGGCGUCGCGGGGCGACAUCGAAUUGCGCAUCUUUUUACCUUUUGAGAGGUGUUAGGAAAAGAAAGGGUUUUGGGUUUAAUUAUAAAAUUAUGAUUGAGGUUCAUGAGUCACUAUCUGCUAUUAUAGUUAUUAAGAAAUCUAUGGUCUGCAAUAGUUCAAGUAACGAACUGCUUGUGCAAGGAAAAAAUACACCACCCUUAAUUAAGGUAAGAUGCAUUGUUAUUUUAUUGUUAUUCUAAGUCAUGUUUAUGUCUAUUGGUCUUAUUUAAGAUUCAAGACUGAUCUUCUCUUCAUGAGAAAGUUUCUACCUUAUCAUGUUAAAUCCUAUUCAUUUUAAAAUCUAGAUUUUAGCAUUGCAUUUAUUUUGCACUUUAUAUAUUUAAUACUUGAGGGUGUACUCUACUGUGUAGUUUUACAUUCCUGAAUGUUAAAAUCUACAGUUAAACCUUAACACUCUAAAUGUAAAAUGAACAAAAUGAUUGGUGAAAGAUUUUUUAUAUUUUAGUCAAACCCUAAUGGAUAAUUAUAAACUAGUUAUGGUAUCCAUUUUUGCAUUCAAAACAUGAGAAAGAUGCUUUUUUAUUUUUUUUGUAAAAAAAAUACUUAGAAAACUUUUAGAAUUUGGUUGUAGACAUGAAAACAAAAUAUUUCUUAUUUUUUUCAAAGAGAAAAUUAAUUUAAAAAUUUUUGAGAUUUUUUUUAAUCUUCAAAUUUUUUUAAGAAACGUAUCGAAGAAAAUUAGGUGUUUUAAUACUGAAUUUGUAUCUUAAAGUGUAAAUAUACAGCCUGAUAUUAUGCAAAAUUGAUAGAAAAACAUGUGAGAAAAUCACAAAUUUUUUUAAAGAACUUUUUGAAAUUUUUAAGAAAAAUUUUCAUUUUUUAUAUUUUAAUAUUAUUUAUUUAUUUAUUUAUUAUUAUUAUAUUGGGAUGGGCUGGGCUGGGCUGGGCUAGGACGGGUCCUGCCCCAAGCCCAUUAAAAUGGCUAUCAAUGGAAUAAAUGAACAAUGAAUUAAAAUUUAGGUCAAGGGCAACAUUAUUAGAAGUUCUGGGAUUUAAUUAAACUUUGGAUUAAGUUUUAUAAACCAAAUUAAAAGCUUAAUUGAAAAAUUGAUAAGUUUUGGACUUAAAUGAACUUGGAAUUAGUUUAAUUUAUGAAAUCAGGGGCUUAAUUGAAGAAAUACUAAAGUUUGGGGCUGAUUCGGGUUAAAACUGCAAGAAAUUGAAGUCUAAGGGCCAUUAUGUAAAUGGUGCUAAAAUUCAGGGGUCCAAUUAAAGUUUAUACUGGAAUCUUGAUUACAAAACUUUCAAAACGUCAAGGACCAAAACACAAAUGGCCAUCAACACUGUUCAUCUUCUUCACCCGACCUGAAAAAAACGGAUGCCCAACGAUGCAUCGCCAUUAAUCCUGCAAUAACAGUCACUUUAUUACCUGGGUAACGGUAAAGCCAGAGAAUAAAAGGCAGAACCGAGGGAAGGAGAAAACAGAGAGGCAGAGCGAGCAGUACAAGAAAGAUUAAACAGGGGGGGGGGGGACUGGGGGAAGGAGAAACGUAAAGAAAAACAGAAACACCAAGAACGUGAGACAAGAACGAACAGAAAACCCAGGAAAAACAAGAGGAGCAAACAGAGAAAACACCAGGGAGGAACGAACCGAGAAAAACACAGGGAGACAGAGGAAGAAAAUAAAGAAGAGAGGGAAAGACAGACAUUACAGAGAGGGAGAGACAGGCACAAAGACGAAAAAAAAGACAGAAAUAAAGACAAGAGCGGACGAAGAAGAAAAACAAGACGAAGCAGAGGAGAGCGUCCGAUUGGACCAGCAACCUCACGUCUUCAUCGUCUUCGUCUCAGAACCAGAGCUUGUCAGGAAGACGCCACAGAAAAAGAGACGAAGAAGGAAUCCGGAAAGCCAGAAAAAAAGAAACCAAGCAGAGAAAACCAAAAACAGAGGUGAAGCAAAAGAAAAACAAAAGCAGAGGAAGAAAGCAACUAGCCGACCAGUCCUCCAUCACGUCUCCGUCUCCCUUCUUUCAGGUAAGUUUCUCCAGCUUUGCAAGAUAAUUCACCCACACUGUACACUUGCAAAUUUAAUUACAUUGUGGACGUAGCAGGCGUGCGUGAACAAUUCACGCACGCUUGCGGGUAGAAGCCAGCCGGGUCACUGGUUUGGACCAGUGACCGGGCUGGGUCUAUGAGUCUAUUCAGUCUAUACGGGCUGAACUACACCAAGCCCCAAAAAAAUUAAAAAAAUAAAAACAAGUAAAAUAAAAUAAAAUAAAUACAUGCAUUAAAAAUAAAUUUGUUUUAUUAGUUUAUUUACUAAUAUCAGAGUCAGGAAUAAAAAUACUGAUUUCAAUUUAUUUUAUUGUUUUCUAGCUAUGUAAUAUUUACCAAUGUCAAAGUUGGAAAUAUUUGUAGUUGAAUAUUCACUAACGUCAGGGUCGGGAAUAUUACAAGUAAACUAUCAUAGCAUACACCAACAAACUUUUAGUAAUUUAAGACAAAAUCAGCAAUUCAAUCUACCAAAGACAAAACAUUUAAGGGGUAAUAAUAUCUUUCCUUUUAUAUAAUCAGUCUUGUACCAUGAAAUCUUUGUUGACUAAUUAGGGUUCUUAGUAACCAUAAUACUAGGGAACGACUCCUUAAACAAGACAUUUCCCUAUCAAAGAAUAAGAUACCUGAAAUUUGUUCUUUUCAUUGAAUAUUUUUAAGGUCGUCGCGACGUCGAGUGCGACAAGGUUAAUGGAGGGGUUCCUAGUGGUGCAGGGAAGAUCGUGCACUGUGGCUGGAGGUGGUUGUGUUGUCGAAGGUGGAGAAAAAGAAGGGGAAAGGGAGGCUAGUGGAGAAGAAGAAAAAAAACUAGGGCGAAAAUGAUUUUUUUACCAACUUUUCACACUAAUUUCUUAAUGCUUAGGGCAUGAAAUCUAUCUUUAUUUAUAGACGGUGGAAUAGGAAUAUUUUUUCUUUACUGGUGCUAAAUCUCGCCCUUGAUUCAACCUAGAAGGAUUCUAACUAUUGGUUCAAAGUUGUUAUUAUGGCCUGAAAAAGUUUGUUGUUAAAGGCUAGUAGGGUUGGCCACUUUGAGGCAACGUCAUGACAGCUGUAAGGAAAAUUUACGAGAGAGACCUACUAUAGGAUGUAGUACAAUGUCGGACUAUCAUGGUGAUGUAUAUUUUGUCCAGUUUAGUUAAGAUAUGAAGCAUUAGAUGACCUUAAAAAAAAGCCACCCAAACAGUUUUUUUUUGGGUGAAAGGUUGGGGAUAAUGAACAGUACCACAUAACACAUCCUUUGGUUCCUUUUUUUACUGUUCAAAAACAACAUUGUUUUGGACCUUAAAUUAGGUAUUUUGUCUAAAGUUCAAUUUGUUCCUCUAGCAUUUAAUUUCUUUCAAUUUCACCUCUAAUUGAUCCUAAAAUUUUGAUUUAAUGCAAUUUUGUCCCUGCCAAAUUACAAUAUUAGCCCUGACUUUCAACACCUUUUUCAUAUUAGUCCUUGGUUUUGAAUUUAUGCAAUUUGACCUUCAAUUGACCAUUAAACUUUUAUUUUUUUUCCAUUGCACCCCUGAUUUCAAUCAAUUAAGUCCCUAUAGUUCAACACCUUUUUUAAAAUGAUCAUUGGCUGUGAAUUUUUUCGAUUUAACCCCUAAUUGACUCUAAGACUUUGAUUUUCUUACGAUUUUAUCCUUGAUUUAAGCCAAUUAACUGUGUAAAAAUUAACUUUGGUCUUCUAAAAUUUCAAUAUUCUCAAUUAAGCUCAAAUUGGACUCUCAAACUUAAUUUAUCACCAAUUAAGCUCCUAAUAAAAUUAGUUCACUCCAUUUAAAGUAUAAUUAGCCUUGCACCUAAUUAAAUCCUUCAAUUGAACCCAAAUUAAUUCUUAAACAUAAUUAAACUUUAAUUUGGUCUAUGAUUAAAUCAAAUUGACCUAUUAAAAAUCUAAUUAUGUUCUUAGGCUUAAGUUUCAUGUAGAUUCAUCCAGUAAUGAUUUAAUUUAACCUUAAAUCUGCAUUAUCUCUUACGUUGUGGGUGAAAUAAGAUACAAUUAGGCUCUUGAUUCCAUCCAAAAUUACAGCUUGAUUUUUUCUAUAUUUAAAAUCCUUCCUCAUCUAGUUUUUUCCACGUCGUUAGUUUCCUUACUAUUAUUAUUUUAUUUUUUAUUUUUAUAUUAAAAAAUAAAAAUAAAUUUAAAAAAUAAUCCAAAAAUAAAUUAUAACAUAAGAUAGCGUUUAUUAUCUUAAAACAAAAGCUAUGGAGUAUAGAAUAUGAAACUUAGUCGGAGAUGUACUUAUAUUAUUUGGUUGAUGAAAAACAAGGUAAGAUAAAAUAUGAAAAGAGAUUGUUUUAUUAUCAUUAUCAAACUUGCAAUGUUUGAAACAAUAAUAAAAAUCAAUAUUUUUACUUUAAUUUAUAAUAAGUAUUAAAAAUUUUUAUCUAACUUAAAAUGGUAAUAUCUCCACUCAUCAAAAUUAGGUUAAGUUUUUUUUGUAAUCAUUGUCGAAAAGAUAAUUAUUUUAAAAAAAUAGUGUAGUUAAAUUAUUCAAUCAUUAAAAAAAAAUUAAGUGUUAAAUAUUUCUUAACUUUGAAGUGCUUCAACCAAGUAUUAGGAUAUUUAUUUCUCAAAAAAAAAAUAUGUUCGAAGAAAUAUCAGAUAAGUUUCAAAUGAAUAAUUGCAAUUCUAUAAGUGCACCAAUUGAGUUUGGUUUGAACUAAAUAGAAAUUAUGAAGGAAUAGGACACGUGGAGACAUGGAGGAGGGAUAGCUUAAUAAUUAAUUAACGCCCCUUUGCAUCUGGACGUGGAGCCAUGGGAAACGGAUAGGAUCGGACACGGUUUGCAAUAUAUUGUCAUUAUCUUUCUUUAUCCACGUGGAGCCAGACACAGCUCACCAUUCUGAAAUGCAAACGAUGCUCCAAGUUGCAGUAUUUACGAAUAAAAAUAAAACCGUGUUGCCAUUGUUUAUUUGUUUCUUGAAACUAUUUUACAGUCGACUCUUUUUGUUUUUGGUCUAAUUUCUUUUUUCAAGAAAAAAACAAGUGGAUUUAAUUAUUUUUAAUCUAUCAAAUACCAUUCUCAAAUCUAAUAAUUUAAAUUAUUAGAUGAGAUUAAAAAAUAUAAUUUAUAUUAUUUUAAACAAACUCCAUCAAGUAAAAGUUAUUUAAGCAUGAAACUUGCACAAGUUCACAUUACUUUAUGCUUAAUUUUUAUCAAAUAAAUAGAGAUAGUAAGAUUCGAUCUCAUGACCGCUUGGUCAUCAAAGCUCUGAUACCAUAUCAAAAAAAUAUCUCAACCUAAUAAUUUAAACUAUUAAAUAAGAUCUCAAGAUAUAAUUUAUAUUAUUUUUUAACAUGAUCUUAUAUUUAUAUUAUUUCUAUAUUUAUCUCCUUGAAAUACUAAUCAAGAUGUUAAUUAAAAAAUAAAUUGUGUCUUGAAUACAUUUUCACUCAUUAAAAAAUUUUAUAUUGUUCAGAAAAUAGUUAGUGAGUUUUUAUUAGUUAUUUUAUAAAUUUAUUUUUUAAAAAAAAUUACAACUAAGAAAAAAAAAUCUAAAUAAAAAUAUUCUUAUCUCUUUUAAUAAAUUAUUAAUUUUAUCUUCUUUUUUUAUCUAUGUCCAUUUCUUUUUUUAUAAUAAAUAUCUAAUAAAAUAUCUUUAAUUUUCACCAUAAGAUAUUUCCCGAUCCACCCAAACACUCCACCUGCCCGCCUCCCUCGCUGCCUUUUGUUAUGGUUGUACCGUACGCGCAGAAUUGAACUUACGAAGAAGGACAGAGCCUUUUAUUUAUUUAUUUAAGGACACGGCAUGCCAUACGUUAAUUGGCACUAUAAAAUACGAACGCCAUUCCUCUAAAAGACUAGUUCUGUGACCCACCAUCAAGACCUGCAUAAUAUAGAAAUUUAGCAAUUUUUCUUUCUGUUUAUUUCUUCAAGUAAUAUUUUGUUUGUGAUUAUGGCUACUGGGCACGCACCAGGCAACCCCAUUCCAGCUGUGAGAAAAUACCCGCCGGUGGAGCAUCCAGUGGUGGUAAUAGGGCCACAGUACCUGGCACAGUACCCUGUUGAACUCGCCGUCUCUACAAAGCUGUGGACUCUUGGAGAGAAUGAUUUUAAGGUGUCUGACAUUAAUGGCACCCUCAUCUUCCAGAUCAAGAGUAAAAAAUUAAGCCUACAUGAUCGUCGUUUUCUGAA